GACGAACGCUGGCGGCGUGCUUAACACAUGCAAGUCGAACGGAAAGGCCUCUUUCGGGGGGUACUCGAGUGGCGAACGGGUGAGUAACACGUGAGUAACCUGCCCUUGACUUUGGGAUAACUUCAGGAAACUGGGGCUAAUACCGGAUAGGAGCUCCUGCUGCAUGGUGGGGGUUGGAAAGUUUCGGCGGUUGGGGAUGGACUCGCGGCUUAUCAGCUUGUUGGUGGGGUAGUGGCUUACCAAGGCUUUGACGGGUAGCCGGCCUGAGAGGGUGACCGGCCACAUUGGGACUGAGAUACGGCCCAGACUCCUACGGGAGGCGGCAGUGGGGAAGAUUGCACAAUGGGUGGAAGCCUGAUGCAGCAACGCCGUGUGCGGGAUGACGGCCUUCGGGUUGUAAACCGCUUUCGCUCAUGACGAAGCUUUGUGUGACGGUAGUGGGUAAAGAAGCACCGGCUAACUACGUG
rnacentral:rRNA from 1 species